rnacentral:rRNA from 1 species
AACGAACGCUGGCGGCAGGCCUAACACAUGCAAGUCGAGCGCAGUCCUUCGGGACCGAGCGGCGGACGGGUUAGUAACGCGUGGGAAUAUACCCGACACUAAGGAAUAGCCUCUGGAAACGGAGAGUAAUACCUUAUACGCCCUUUGGGGGAAAGAUUUAUCGGUGACGGAUUAGCCCGCGUUAGAUUAGAUAGUUGGUGGGGUAACGGCCUACCAAGUCGACGAUCUAUAGCUGGUUUGAGAGGAUGAUCAGCAACACUGGGACUGAGACACGGCCCAGACUCCUACGGGAGGCAGCAGUGGGGAAUCUUGGACAAUGGGCGCAAGCCUGAUCCAGCCAUGCCGCGUGAGUGAUGAAGGCCUUAGGGUCGUAAAGCUCUUUCGCCAGGGAUGAUAAUGACAGUACCUGGUAAAGAAACCCCGGCUAACUCCGUGCCAGCAGCCGCCGCGUAAACC